UACGGAGGGGGCUAGCGUUGUUCGGAAUUACUGGGCGUAAAGCGCACGUAGGCGGACAUUUAAGUCAGGGGUGAAAUCCCGGGGCUCAACCCCGGAACUGCCUUUGAUACUGGAUGUCUGGAGGUCGAGAGAGGCGAGUGGAAUUCCGAGUGUAGAGGUGAAAUUCGUAGAUAUUCGGAGGAACACCAGUGGCGAAGGCGGCUCGCUGGCUCGAUACUGACGCUGAGGUGCGAAAGCGUGGGGAGCAAACAGG
rnacentral:ncRNA from 2 species